rnacentral:rRNA from 1 species
AUGGCCGGGGACCCGCGACUUCCCGGCGGCAUCGACCGGAUAAGCGGCCUCACGGACGACCUGCUCGGGCACAUCCUCUCCUUCAUGCCCGUCUGGGAGGCUGUGCGCCUGUCCGCGCUCUCCAGGCGGUGGCGGGGCGCCUGGGCCCACGCCCCCGUCCUCAACAUCUCCGAUAAGCAGCACCCGGACCGGUUCCUCGACUUCGCCGGCGCGGCGCUCGCGCGGUACGGCCAGCCCGACAUCCCGUCCCUCGCCGUGACCAUCGGUCGCCGGUCCAGUCUCGGCCCCGCCACGGCCGCUUGGCUCCGCGGCGCCAUGGAGCACGUCGUCGGAUCUAUCCGCGUCCAGGUGGACCGGCACACCCCUCCGCUGGAUCAGCUGGUUCUGCCACGCAGCCUGCGAGCCACGGCCAUGGCCCUGGACUUGAGCGGCGACGUCCUCUCCAAAGGCGUGCUCGUCCUCCCGGAGCCUGCCGAACCUGCCCCUUUCCGGCGGAUGACAGAGCUGAGCCUCUCGAGCGUGCGUCUGCAGGUGCAGCCAGACAGGCUUGGCGAGUUCUUGUCGUCAUGCUUCCCCCAGCUGAGGAAGCUGCGCCUUCGCAAAGUUUGCAAUGUGGCCGCGGAGCCGAGACUCUGGCCACUGAUGCUCGAUAUGGACAUGCUCGAGCUGGAGGUCGACAGCAUCCACCAACUAACGGUGCUGCAGGUAGUGGCUGCCAAACUCCGGCUGCUGAUCGUGAGACACUGCUUCGAGAGUCUGGCUGUGCUCCGCGCCGACAUCGUGUUCAAGGUCUUCGCGCCGGGGCUGGAGGUGAUCAGCUGGACCGGCUGGUUCCCGAAGCAGCUCAACUUCCUACCCGACGCGCAAUGUGUACGCCGACUGUCCGGCAUCAUUGUCAACUGGCCCAGCAUAUCGUGGGCUGACUACUGUUUGCCGGGUGUCAUGCAGUUGCUCGAGACAUGCUGUGGAGCUGACCGGCUAGAUCUUUGUGUCGACAUCUAUGAUGGAUGGGUUCCAUCCAUGGUAUCAAAACAGGAUUUCAUGGAACGCAUGCCACACCUUCCCAACAUCAGGACACUCUCCCUGACGAUCGUCGCGAUUCUCCGAAUGCUUCGCUCUCCAAUUGGUGAAAUUGUCUUCUGCUUCCUUAGGCGAUGCCCGAACCUAACUCUGCUUCACAUCGACCUAUCGACGCUGCACCAGUUUACAAGGCAGGAUCCGCGUUAUCUUGUGUUUCCGGAAGAUGAUGCUGAAACUAAAGCUGCAAAGCCAUGUCAAGACCGCGAAUAUGAUCCGCGUAAAGCACACAAAUACCAAUUGCGACUAGGCUCUCUUCGAAAGAUAAGAAUAAGUGGCUUUGCCGGAACGGAUGCUGAGAUGGAGCUCGCCGAUCUUCUUUUCGGAAUUGGAGCCGAGCGGUCGGCGCUCGAGGGGAUAUCUAUAUCAUCAUUUGCACAGCUGAAGGGUCGCAUUGGCAGGAUCGCCCAGAAGAUGAGGGCACGGUUCCCUCUUGUAGGAGGGCGCUGGGAAAUCUCUUCCUUGGAAGAGAGCACGUGGACGAAGAACAAUGAUGGCCUGGAAAGAUCAAAUGCUCUUAGAUCAACAACCAUAAUGUAG